CAAGUCGAGCGAACGGACGAGAAGCUUGCUUCUCUGAUGUUAGCGGCGGACGGGUGAGUAACACGUGGAUAACCUACCUAUAAGACUGGGAUAACUUCGGGAAACCGGAGCUAAUACCGGAUAAUAUUUUGAACCGCAUGGUUCAAAAGUGAAAGACGGUCUUGCUGUCACUUAUAGAUGGAUCCGCGCUGCAUUAGCUAGUUGGUAAGGUAACGGCUUACCAAGGGCAACGAUGCAUAGCCGACCUGAGAGGGUGAUCGGCCACACUGGAACUGAGACACGGUCCAGACUCCUACGGGAGGCAGCAGUAGGGAAUCUUCCGCAAUGGGCGAAAGCCUGACGGAGCAACGCCGCGUGAGUGAUGAAGGUCUUCGGAUCGUAAAACUCUGUUAUUAGGGAAGAACAUAUGUGUAAGUAACUGUGCACAUCUUGACGGUACCUAAUCAGAAAGCCACGGCUAACUACGUGCCAGCAGCCGCGGUAAUACGUAGGUGGCAAGCGUUAUCCGGAAUUAUUGGGCGUAAAGCGCGCGUAGGCGGUUUUUUAAGUCUGAUGUGAAAGCCCACGGCUCAACCGUGGAGGGUCAUUGGAAACUGGAAAACUUGAGUGCAGAAGAGGAAAGUGGAAUUCCAUGUGUAGCGGUGAAAUGCGCAGAGAUAUGGAGGAACACCAGUGGCGAAGGCGACUUUCUGGUCUGUAACUG
rnacentral:rRNA from 1 species